CCGUACGAUGACCGCAUCAGUUCUCCUAGGUGAGAACCUAUGGCCAUUAAGGUGUGGUAGUUCAGGGAAUUCGGUA
rnacentral:rRNA from 1 species